ensembl:snoRNA SNORD26 Small nucleolar RNA SNORD26
CUGCAAAGAUGAAACCACUGAACUCUCUCUUUCUGAUGGUUAAGUGUAGAAACCCUGAAUGAGAUUCUGAGUGGC